UACGUAGGGGGCAAGCGUUGUCCGGAUUUAUUGGGCGUAAAGAGCGUGUAGGCGGCUAGAUAGGUCCGUUGUGAAAACUCGAGGCUCAACCUCGAGACGUCGAUGGAAACCAUCUAGCUAGAGUCCGGAAGAGGAGAGUGGAAUUCCUGGUGUAGCGGUGAAAUGCGCAGAUAUCAGGAAGAACACCCGUGGCGAAGGCGGCUCUCUGGUACGUGACUGACGCUGAGACGCGAAAGCGUGGGGAGCGAACAGG
rnacentral:rRNA from 1 species